rnacentral:rRNA from 1 species
UACGGGGGAUGCAAGUGUUAUCCGGAAUUAUUGGGCGUAAAGCGUCUGUAGGUGGUUUUACAAGUCUACUGUUAAAGCCCGAGGCUCAACUUCGGAACAGCAGUGGAAACUAUAAAACUUGAGUAUUAUUGAAGUAGAAGGAAUUUCCAGUGGAGUGGUGAAAUGCGUAGAUAUUGGAAGGAACACCGAUAGCGAAAGCAUUCUAUUAGAUAAUUCUGACACUGAGAGACGAAAGCUAGGGUAGCAAAUGGGAUUAGAUACCCCAGUAGUCCUAGCCGUAAACGAUGGAUACUAUAUACCAACAUUUGCUGUGUUAUUAAAGCUAACGCGUAAGUAUCCCGCCUGGGGAGUAUGCUCGCAAGGGUG